rnacentral:rRNA from 1 species
AUGGGGAACGACACCACGGAGGAGACGCGUAAGCGUCCGGCGGAUGAGGACGCGGAGCGGUCGGCGAAGCGGCCGUCGCCGAAAGAGCUGCACGAAGAGGUCAUGCAAUCUCUUGGUGACGUGCGCGAGGCGCAGGCCACGCUGUACGAUCCCAAGCGAAAGUGCUUCGACUGCUGCCGCGGCUUUGAGUGGUACAUGCACGAGCCCGCAGUGUUCGACCACGAGGAAGAGUCAACGGCUCGGUUCUCAAGGCCGCUUGACGAAAUCCCAGAGUCUCAAUUAGACUUCCUGAAGAUCGCGUUGAAUGUGAUUCAUGUGAAGGUAUUGGCCUCCGAUGUAGGUUUCCCGAUCAGCGUGUUUGGGAAUGUGUUGAUGAGAGAUGGCUUGGACUUCAAAUGCAUCCACCUCUUCCAACGUGAUAGAGACAACUGCCAGGUCAUCAACUCACCGGAUGAAAUGCUAAAUUUGAUAGGGCCCAAUCGAGGACCCGCAGAAGCUGUUGUUUUCUAUUUUGAGGUCAACCUAAAGAUCAGGGGCGAAGAACCUGCUAUGGAUAUGAUUUUCAGCAGGACCUUGGUGAAUGAAAAUUAUCCUCUUGAUGCAUGGACUAAGAAACAAGAAGUUUCAAGUUGGCUGAGUACAUUAGAGUUUUCAUACAGAUCUGUGCACUAUGCGGUGGAAGCCACCGUUGGGAUCAAAAUUUUGAGAGGGCCACGAUUCUUGCAUGGCAGCCUGAUAGCUUCCACCUCCGAAGAGCCUAGUGAGAUGGUGCUAUAUGACAGUGAGCGCUGGGGUGCCCAUACCAAGGUUGCUGUGGAUGGGUCGGUGAAUCUACCUCGUUGUCUAGUAAUUCUACGCGAAGACGAGGAUUUAUUCCUAAAAGUUUGUGUUUUUGGCCGUCGCCAUAGAAGAGCUAAGCCCAAUACCAUUGUCCUUACAGUUGAACAUUCUGAUAGAUCAUUCGAUAUAAAACUAGGUUGUUAUCACUUACAAGUCACCGUGUCCUGGUCAGGCAUUUUGUUGCCCUAG